rnacentral:lncRNA from 1 species
CUGACUUCCUGUUGCCUUCAAGAUGUAGGACUCUCAGCUCCAGCACCACAUCUGCCUUCAUGCUGCAUGUUCCCUUUCAUGGCCAUAUGGAAUGAACUUCUGAAACUGCUGUCAUUUUCCUGCCCAGGGUCCAGAGGAUUCUCUGCUGCUGCCAGUGUGAGCUGUCAGAACUGCCCUGUCUCUGAAGAGUACAGUCCCUAGCACUGGAUAAGCACCACUUCUGGAAGGUUGCUGGAUAUGAAGAGAGGGGAACAAGGCAUCCCCAAGUGCUGGAGGAAGUCAGAAGACAGGGUUGGAUCCCCUGGAGCUGGAGUUACAAGCUAUAAUGAACUGGGAGCUGAACCCUGGGACUUCUGCAAGAGCAGCCAGUGCUUGUAACCACAGCCAUCUCUCCAGCCCUGGCAAUGUCACUUGUAACCAUGGAAGCACUGCAG